AACGAACGCUGGCGGCAGGCCUAACACAUGCAAGUCGAGCGAAGCCUUCGGGCUUAGCGGCGGACGGGUGAGUAACGCGUGGGAACGUGCCCUUUGGUACGGAAUAGCCCCGGGAAACUGGGAGUAAUACCGUAUGUGGUCGAGAGACGAAAGAUUUAUCGCCAAAGGAUCGGCCCGCGUUGGAUUAGGUAGUUGGUGGGGUAAUGGCCUACCAAGCCGACGAUCCCUAGCUGGUUUGAGAGGAUGAUCAGCCACACUGGGACUGAGGCACGGCCCAGACGCCUACGGGGGGCAGCAGUGGGGAAUCUUAGACAAUGGGGGAAACCCUGAUCUAGCCAUGCCGCGUGAUCGAUGAAGGCCUUAGGGUUGUAAAGAGCUUUCAGUGGGGAAGAUAAUGACUGUACCCACAGAAGAAGCCCCGGCUAACUCCGUGCCAGCGCCGCCGUAAGAC
rnacentral:rRNA from 1 species